rnacentral:rRNA from 1 species
CUCAGGAUGAACGCUCGCUGUGUGCCUAAUACAUGCAUGUUGAACGGGAUGUAGCAAUACAUUCAGUAGCGAAUGGGUGAGUAACACGUACCUAACCUACCUUUAAGACUGGGAUAACUAUUGGAAACAAUAGCUAAUACCGGAUAUAGUUAUUUAUCGCAUGAUGAGUAAUAGAAAGGAGCUUCACAGCUUCACUUAAAAAUGGGGGUGCGGAACAUUAGUUAGUUGGUAGGGUAAUGGCCUACCAAGACGAUGAUGUUUAGCCGGGCCGAGAGGCUGUACGGCCACACUGGGACUGAGAUACGGCCCAGACUCCUACGGGAGGCAGCAGUAAGGAAUUUUCCACAAUGAGCGAAAGCUUGAUGGAGCGACACAGCGUGCAGGAUGAAGUUCUUCGGAAUGUAAACUGCUGUUAUAAGGGAAGAAAAAAUAGAAUAGGAAAUGAUUUUAUCUUGACGGUACCUUAUUAGAAAGCGACGGCAAACUAUGUGCCAGCAGCUGCGGUAAUACAUAGGUCGCAAGCGUUAUCCGGAAUUAUUGGGCGUAAAGCGUCCGUAGGUUUUUUGCUAAGUCUGGAGUUAAAUGCUGAAGCUCAACUUCAGUCCGCUUUGGAUACUGGCAAAAUAGAAUUAUAAAGAGGUUAGCGGAAUUCCUAGUGAAGCGGUGGAAUGCGUAGAUAUUAGGAAGAACACCAAUAGGCGAAGGCAGCUUACUGGAUAUAUACUGACGUUGAGGCACGAAAGCGUGGGGAGCAAACAGGAUUAGAUACCCUGGUAGUCCACGCCGUAAACGAUGAUCAUUAGUUGGUGGAAUAAUUUCACUAACGCAGCUAACGCGUUAAAUGAUCCGCCUGAGUAGUAUGCUCGCAAGAGUGAAACUUAAAGGAAUUGACGGGAACCCGCACAAGCGGUGGAGCAUGUGGUUUAAUUUGAUGGCUACGCGUAGAACCUUACCCACUCUUGACAUCUUCUGCAAAGCUAUAGAGAUAUAGUGGAGGUUAACAGAAUGACAGAUGGUG